UACGUAGGGUGCAAGCGUUGUCCGGAAUUAUUGGGCGUAAAGGGCUCGUAGGCGGUCCAUCACGUCGGGAGUGAAAAGCUGGGGCUUAACCCCAGUCCUGCUUCCGAUACGGGUGGACUAGAGGUAGGCAGGGGAGAACGGAAUUCCUGGUGUAGCGGUGAAAUGCGUAGAUAUCUGGAGGAACACCGGUGGCGAAGGCGGCAUCCUGGACCAAUACUGACACUGAGGAGCGAAAGCCAGGGGAGCAAACAGG
rnacentral:rRNA from 1 species